rnacentral:lncRNA from 1 species
UCAGGGGAAUUCAGUCAGCACUGUGGGAAUCCGACUGUUGGAGAAGUCCGGGGAGAUACCGUCUGCGGUCGAAAGCCGGAGGGGUCUUGGGAGGGUCAAUCCUGUUAAGAACUUUGGCUGAGGGUAUUUUAUACCCAACACUAUGUAAUAAUCAUGUAAUAGAAUCUUAGAUCUAAAGAUUCUCUGAUUUUAAAAAAUAAAUUUUGAUUUAUUUUAGUCUUCCGC